rnacentral:misc_RNA from 1 species
GACUCUCGUCAACCACCAGCUCUUUCACAUCAGCAGUCUAUCCAGCAACCACUUCAACCUCCUGUGUCUCCACGGCAAAUAUCUGUGCCUCCUGCACCUCUUACUGCCCCACCUCUCCCACAACAAAACCAAGUUCCUGCCCAAUAUCCCGGCCAACUACCUCAAAACCAGAUGCCUUCUUCAAGUUCAUACUUUGCCCCAUCAGCUCAGAUUACAGACACACAACAAUACCCGCUCCCAUCUCGUCA